GUACUGCUUCGGCAGUACAUAUACUAAAAUUGGAACGAUACAGAGAAGAUUAGCAUGGCCCCUGCGGGGAUGACACGCAAAAUCGUGAAGCGUUCCACAUUUUU
rnacentral:snRNA from 1 species